CCUCUGAAUAGACACGUUCUGCCUGCAGUGGCUGUUCUGACAGAGGACUCUGCUUCCAAGCAUCCAAAGCAUACAACGGGAUGCAGGGCAGAAGAUAGGCUGCUGCUGUGCUGUGGUGACGAGGAGUCGGGGACAUUUCUUCAGAUGUGUGACUUUGAAAUGAUUGGGAUCUUCUAGAGCAUUCAUUUUUCUACCCCAAAAGGAGAAUUUGAACCUUCUUUCAGUAUUUUUGAGGACCCACCUCUGGGACUCUUGAGCUGACAGCUUUGGGACUUGAAAGUGAUUUGAAAAAGAAAACUAGAAGCCAUGUCUGACUCACCUCAGUCAAUAAGGUAUUUGUGCUGGCUGCAGAUGUCUCUGAGCACCCAAGUAAAGGUGAGUACAUUCACGUGGGAGCCCAUGCCUGUGGUUACAUCGUCCUCAUAGUAGCUCCACUGGAGAUGUAGGGAAAUCACCACUGUCUGUGUCACAGCCAUAUUAAGUGAACCAUUGCCAAGGAAUGCUUUAUAGACAAUGAGAGAUGUGGAUGUCAGGUCAAUCUGUGGCUUCUGAACUCCAUGACCUGCAUGAUCCCUCUAUGUUGUUGUCUAUACAUGAAUCCCUUCUGUGACAGUAAAAAUGACCAACUUGACAGGAUUGAGAAUCACCUAGAACACCAGCUUCUGUUACCUAGAUGAUCUAGAUUAGAUUAACUGAGGUAAAUAGAUCCAUCUUAAUUAUGGUUGGCUCCAUUCCACAGGCUGGAAUCCUGAAGUAAAUAGAAAGGAAAGAGCAAGCUGUGUACUGGCUUUCGUUGAUGUUUUUCUUGCAAUGUGGCCAGCUGUCUCAGCUUCACACUGCCAUCGCUUGCUGACUAUGAUGGAUUGUAUCCUCAGACUGUGAGCCAAAAUCAACCCGUUCUUUCUUAAUUGCGUUUGCUGGGUGUUUUACCACAGAA